AACUAUGUAGUCAAUAAUGAUAUUGAAUUGCAAAUUCAAAGGAGAAUAAGUUCUAUAGUUU
rnacentral:tRNA from 1 species